rnacentral:rRNA from 1 species
UACGUAGGGUGCGAGCGUUGUCCGGAAUUAUUGGGCGUAAAGAGCUCGUAGGCGGUCUGUCGCGUCUGCUGUGAAAACUCAGGGCUUAACCCUGAGCUUGCAGUGGAUACGGGCAGACUAGAGUGCGGUAGGGGAGAGUGGAAUUCCUGGUGUAGCGGUGAAAUGCGCAGAUAUCAGGAGGAACACCGGUGGCGAAGGCGGGUCUCUGGGCCGUAACUGACGCUGAGGAGCGAAAGCAUGGGGAGCGAACAGG